rnacentral:rRNA from 1 species
UACAGAGGUCCCAAGCGUUGUUCGGAUUCACUGGGCGUAAAGGGUGCGUAGGCGGUCGGGUAAGUCUGAUGUGAAAUCUCACAGCUUAACUGUGAAACUGCAUUGGAUACUAUCCGGCUCGAGGAAUGGAGGGGAGACUGGAAUACUUGGUGUAGCAGUGAAAUGCGUAGAUAUCAAGUGGAACACCAGUGGCGAAGGCGACUCGCUGGACAAGUAUUGACGCUGAGGUGCGAAAGCGUGGGGAGCAAACAGG